AUUCGUUUCAACUUUUUAAAUGAAAUAAAACAACGGUUUAAAAAUUUUAGUGGUUUAGAUAUUAAAUCACAAUUUAUUUGGCUAAUGUCCUCUGAAGAUACUUUCAUACUCCAGAAACUCGGAGAAUUAUUGGAAAAUUUAUCCUCAUAUAGGAAAGUUUCCUUAAAUGAUAUAUAGAUAUAGAAAUGCCCAGUGACCCCCCUUAUAUUAUUAAACACGGUGCUUGUUGUAUUCUUGUACUUGUCUUAAUAAAUAUUUUUUGGUUUGGUUGUUUUUUUGUUUUUUUUUUUAUAACAUUGUGUCUUAAUCAUAUUGAAUCACUUGUAAUCAUUUGUAUGUAAUUAAUGA
rnacentral:lncRNA from 1 species